rnacentral:rRNA from 1 species
CCUACGGGUGGCAGCAGUAGGGAAUCUUCCACAAUGGGCGCAAGCCUGAUGGAGCAACACCGCGUGAGUGAAGAAGGGUUUCGGCUCGUAAAGCUCUGUUGUUGGAGAAGAACGUGCGUGAGAGUAACUGUUCACACAGUGACGGUAUCCAACCAGAAAGUCACGGCUAACUACGUGCCAGCAGCCGCGGUAAUACGUAGGUGGCAAGCGUUAUCCGGAUUUAUUGGGCGUAAAGCGAGCGCAGGCGGUUGCUUAGGUCUGAUGUGAAAGCCUUCGGCUUAACCGAAGAAGUGCAUCGGAAACCGGGCAACUUGAGUGCAGAAGAGGACAGUGGAACUCCAUGUGUAGCGGUGGAAUGCGUAGAUAUAUGGAAGAACACCAGUGGCGAAGGCGGCUGUCUGGUCUGCAACUGACGCUGAGGCUCGAAAGCAUGGGUAGCAAACAGGAUUAGAUACCCGGGUAGUC